rnacentral:rRNA from 1 species
UACGUAGGGGGCAAGCGUUGUCCGGAUUUAUUGGGCGUAAAGAGCGUGUAGGCGGCCUGGAAGGUCAGCUGUGAAAACUCGAGGCUCAACCUCGAGACGUCGGUUGAAACCACCUGGCUAGAGUCCGGAAGAGGAGAGUGGAAUUCCCGGUGUAGCGGUGAAAUGCGCAGAUAUCGGGAAGAACACCCGUGGCGAAGGCGGCUCUCUGGAACGCAACUGACGCUGAGACGCGAAAGCGUGGGGAGCAAACAGG